rnacentral:rRNA from 1 species
AUUGAACGCUGGCGGCAGGCCUAACACAUGCAAGUCGAACGAGUGGCGGACGGGUGAGUAAUGUCUGGGAAACUGCCCGAUGGAGGGGGAUAACUACUGGAAACGGUAGCUAAUACCGCAUACCAUCGGAUGUGCCCAGAUGGGAUUAGCUAGUAGGUGGGGUAACGGCUCACCUAGGCGACGAUCCCUAGCUGGUCUGAGAGGAUGACCAGCCAAACUGGAACUGAGAUACGGUCCAGACUCCUACUGGAGGGCGCAGUUGGGAAUAAUGCACCAUGGGCGCAAGCCUGAUGCAGCCAUGCCGCGUGUAUGAAGAAGGCCUUCGGGUUUUAAAGUACUUUCAGCGAGGAUGCGUUACUCGCAGAAGAAGCACCGGCUAACUCCGUGCCAGCAGCCGCGGUAAUAC